AGGAGUGACCAUGGUCAACUUCCAGUAUCUGUGAAUGUGACCUUAUUUGUAAAUGGGGUCUCUGCAAGCAGUCCGGAUGAAUCCAUAGGGGAUGGUAUCUGGUGGUUUUCCAUGGAGAGGAAGGCCUGAGAGAUUGACCUCACCCAGCAUGAUGCCAGGCCUGAAGAAAUAACAUUUUUAUUGUAGGGUGUUUCUAAAAAAGGGAACUUUCAACCACACAGCAUGAGCUCUGUAAUACCGGUCUGCUGUGGCACGCAGAGUGACUCUGGAAAGUAAAUUUUUUACUCUUGGAAUAAUUGUAGACCAUCUGCUGGGGCGAUCUUUAGAGAGCACCUAAUUGUGACUUGCCAGUACGUGUCACACUGUAAGACGCUACAUGUACUCCACGUUGACACAAAUGGACAACCGUGCGCAUAAUGAGGAAAAAUUGCAACACACUGGCAGUAAUGACAUCAGAGUGGGAAUUUUUAUUCUUCCUCCGUUUUCUAACUUAUCCAAUACAUACUCUAGUCAAGUUGGAAAUAGUACAUACUUAAAGACUUUAAAUUAAAGAAACGUAAAAGAAUGUAAAUACCCAAUAAACAUCAGCCCAGUGUGUAA